rnacentral:rRNA from 1 species
UACGUAGGUGGCAAGCGUUGUCCGGAUUUACUGGGCGUAAAGAGCGCGCAGGCGGUCGUUCAAGUCGCGUGUGAAAGCCCCCGGCUCAACUGGGGAGGGUCACGCGAUACUGAUCGACACGAAGGCAGGAGAGGGUAGUGGAAUUCCCGGUGUAGUGGUGAAAUGCGUAGAUAUCGGGAGGAACACCAGUGGCGAAGGCGACUACCUGGCCUGUUCUUGACGCUGAGGCGCGAAAGCUAGGGGAGCAAACGGG